UACGAAGGGUGCAAGCGUUACUCGGAAUUACUGGGCGUAAAGCGUGCGUAGGUGGUUUGUUAAGUCUGAUGUGAAAGCCCUGGGCUCAACCUGGGAACGGCAUUGGAAACUGGCUUACUAGAGUGCGGUAGAGGGGUGUGGAAUUCCCGGUGUAGCAGUGAAAUGCGUAGAUAUCGGGAGGAACAUCUGUGGCGAAGGCGACACCCUGGACCAGCACUGACACUGAGGCACGAAAGCGUGGGGAGCAAAUAGG
rnacentral:rRNA from 1 species